GCAUUAGCUCAGUUGGUAGAGCAUGAGACUCUUAAUCUCAGGGUUGAGGGUUCAAGCCCUACCUUGGACA